CGGACUCAAUAUUGACUUCAGGAGAGGUGACUGAUAGAGCGGUGUAAACGCUUUACCGGCGGGUUGGGGUACUGCAUCUGAUACUCACGAGGUCAUGAGAGUACAAAGCUCUUUCUAUCUAUCGGACUGGUGAGAUUGUCCACUCAUCUAUUGCCAGCGAGAGCUCUCUGCAUUUCAUGGUUAUUUUGAAAGGUAUUGCCCCUGCACUUGAGCAAACUUUUCUUAUGUGGCAUGUGUGCAGAAGAUAAUACACACAUCUUAAGAAGUAACAGAAGAAAGUAACAGGAUCAGGUGAGGCCCUGAAGCACUGGCUGCAGUCAGUAAAUGAUGAUAAGGGGGCUGGCCGGUUUUGUAGCUCAUAUACACAGAUACAGUCAAGGCCAAAAGUUUGUGAACACCCUGUAUUUUGCUGGGACUAUACUGGACCCGUGUCUCUAGGCCAUGAAGAUCAGCCUUUCUCCUGUUUUAAUUGUAUAUAAUAAAGUCUACGAGACAGACUCUUUUAAUUUUUUGUUAUUAUCUUUGCUCAAACUAGCAGUAACGCUAGAUGGCUU